AGCGAACGCUGGCGGCACCCCUCACACAUGCAAGUCGAGCGGGCACUUCGGUGUCAGCGGCAGACGGGUGAGUAACACGUGGGAACGUACCCUUCGGUUCGGAAUAACGCUGGGAAACUAGCGCUAAUACCGGAUACGCCCUUUUGGGGAAAGGUUUACUGCCGAAGGAUCGGCCCGCGUCUGAUUAGCUAGUUGGUGGGGUAAUGGCCUACCAAGGCGACGAUCAGUAGCUGGUCUGAGAGGAUGAUCAGCCACACUGGGACUGAGACACGGCCCAGACUCCUACGGGAGGAAGCAGUGGGGAAUAUUGGACAAUGGGCGCAAGCCUGAUCCAGCCAGGCCGCGUGAGUGAUGAAGGCCUUAGGGUUGUAAAGCUCUUUUGUCCGGGACGAUAAUGACGGUACCGGAAGAAUAAGCCCCGGCUAACUUCGUG
rnacentral:rRNA from 1 species